AGAGUUUGAUUCUGGCUCAGGAUGAACGCUGGCGGCGUGCCUAACACAUGCAAGUCGAACGGGAUAAGAGAUGCUUGCAUUUCUUAUCAAGUGGCGGACGGGUGAGUAACGCGUGGAUAAUCUGCCCUACACAGGGGGAUAACAGCCGGAAACGGCUGCUAAUACCGCAUAGACUGAGCUCUCGCAUGAGAGAACAGGGAAAGAUUUAUCGGUGUAGGAUGAAUCCGCGUCCGAUUAGCUAGUUGGAGGGGUAACGGCCCACCAAGGCGACGAUCGGUAGCCGGCCUGAGAGGGCGACCGGCCACAUUGGGACUGAGACACGGCCCAGACUCCUGCGGGAGGCAGCAGUGGGGAAUAUUGCACAAUGGGGGGAACCCUGAUGCAGCGACGCCGCGUGAGUGAAGAAGUAUUUCGGUAUGUAAAGCUCUAUCAGCAGGGACGAAGAUGACGGUACCUGCAGAAGAAGCCCCGGCUAACUACGUGCCAGCAGCCGCGGUAAUACGUAAGGGGCAAGCGUUAUCCGGAUUUACUGGGUGUAAAGGGAGCGUAUACGGCAUGGCAAGCCAGAAGUGAAAACGCAGAGCUUAACUUUGCGACUGCUUUUGGAACUGCCC
rnacentral:rRNA from 1 species